rfam:Gammaproteobacteria bacterium RIFCSPHIGHO2_12_FTLL_38_11 rifcsphigho2_12_scaffold_26288, whole genome shotgun sequence.
GGAAGCCGUAUGACGGGAGACUGUCACGUACUGGUUUUGGAAGCAGCCAAGGGGGAAGUUCCGUUGGCUGACUCACCUCGU